GAAAGCUUCACAUUACAUUGUUAAAAAAUGUCUUUAGUAGUAUAGAACUUUGUUCCAUAAUAUUUAAUAUAGAGAAAAUUGCAAGGAAAGGCAUCAACUGUCCAAAAGGGGGCCGAUAAUACAAGUUUGUUUCAUGCACCAAUUGCAUUUGGAUUUUGUUUUUCAUAAGUUUGGAAUGGCACGUAAAUUAGAAGUGGUACAUAUCACUUUUCCUAAAUCAUCAUAAACCUAGAGCUAAUUUACAAUUUGUAACAUCUAAUAUUUGACCAAGUUGCAACUUGACAAAUCCAUCCAACUUAAAAAAUAGGUUUACUGAGCUGGGACCAAGGCUUGCGUACUAACGAGCAAUCCACUUCCUCCUUUAUCUUCACGAUCACCAAGCCCUCAUGAGCAUAACCUGUCAUAAACUAAAUUGUUAAUAUCAAAAACCUAAAAAACGUUUAAAAUUUAGGAGGAUUUAGUUUUCUUUGAGGAGAGAGUAUACAUGGGACCACAUCAUAAGGUCAUAAACAAAGGGAAUAUGCCAGGCGUACCCAAAUGGUCAUUUCCUCCCCACUCACAAUUCAAUCCCAAAAGAUCAGGGAAGCAAGAACUUUGGUCCCCACGAUAUCUAACAAAAUCUCUAACAAAUUUAUAGCUGGAUUUGUAAAAAAGAAUAAUUUUGGAAAUCCAUAAACCCCUUAUAAAAGAAGGCGACUGGGCUUUUGUGUAGGGGGCGCUCACCGUUACUCUACCAAAGUUUCACACAAUAACCAUUCAUUUCUAGAGCUCAAAUUCAGAAGUCUAAAUUAGAGUUUCACGUUGAAACUCUAACCAAGACGAGCUAAACCCCAAAUGCAGUAUUGGAAGACAAUCCAAGACGUAGAGAAAAGAAGAAAGAGGAUGUUUUGAAGAGAAAAAGUAAACUUAUCUUUUAGUCGCCGGAAAGCACAUCACCGAACGAGUUCCGGUCAGGUAGAUUUCUUCAGGCCUUGACCAAAUCAGUACGCUAUUGCAAUCUCCUGUUUACAUUGGUUGAAACCCCUAACACCCUAGUUUAAAAUUAUGCUUCAAUACCACUUGAUUCGACAUUAGGUUUUUUUUCUCCCGUCGCGCUUCCUUUACUUCGCUCACACCUUGUAGUUUCUAGCUGAACCCGCGACUUAUUUGCUCGAAGCCGUCGUCGUUGGUGUUUUAGGUUUGACUCUAGGGUUCGAUUUGGGAUCUCGAUCCGGACAAUUAAGGUUGGUAAUAGGGUUUCUGAGUUCAAAUUCGAACUCAGAUGGGUGUUUUUAGGGGGGGUACGGUUUUGUUUUACUUGUUCGUCGGAGCUUGAAGGCGGCGGCGCCGUGAAUGGUUGCCUGCCACCUUCUUCUCCGGCAGGUCGAUCCAGAGAGGGAGAGAACUAUUUGCAGAGCGUUUGCUUGUUUUGGUGUGAAGAGCGAGAAUUGAGUUCUUCAAAUAAACUCAAUCUUUGUUGAAGAAGGCUUAUAUUGCCUCACUUCUUCGCCGUGCAUGUGGGUCAAGUGGCCCUCCCUGAGCAUGCCACGCGUGAUGGACUUGUAGGUCAACCAGGGGAUCCCGUAUGGAUCCCCCCACCAUAUGACGGUGUUCCCUAUUCCGUUCCGCCCCUUGAUCAUUUGACUAAGUCAGAUCCUUGGAUCUGAUGGUCAGGGUUUGAUGGCCUAAGUCAACAGGAUUGAUCAAAGAGCUUUGGACUUUCCCUUGGGAGUGGGCCUCCGGUUUUGGGCCCAGUUUUACUAUGACUCUUCGAACCCCUUGUUAUUACUACUGUGCGUCCAACUUGGGUCUAUUUGGUCCAAAGCCCAUUUUAUUCUCAUUUUUACCCUUUAUUAUUUUCCUUCCUUUGUCUAUUGUUAUUAUUGAUACCUAAUAGUAAUUAAAUAAUCCAUUAACUUUUUAAUUAAUUAAUUUUAUUAUUAUCACCACCAUUUAAUAUUUAAUUAUAAUUUAGAUAAUUACUCAUUUUUGUGAGAUUUAUGUGCAUUAUUAUUUUAUGCUUGUUUAUUCAUGUGUACGAACUAAUUAAUUUCAUACGUUUGGUGCAUUAAUAUCAUGACAAACUAUUUCGAUUUAACUAUUUAAAAAUCAUUUCAACCCAUUUCAAAAGAAAAAUCGUAAUUCUCGAUUCAAAUUGGAGCCCAUUUUCAAACACCUUUGCAAGUCGAUCGCUUUUAAAGCAUCGCCAUCAACCUCACAUAACUUACUCUUGAACUUUCUUACAAUGAGACCUAUUCGGUUAUCAAUUAAUCGAUUAGAUGAUUGAUACACCAAAAUAAUGCAAUUUAUUCAUAAAACAUAAAUUUAAAACCUCGAUCCAACAUCGAGUAUUUCUAUUCAAAUUAAAUUAAAAUACCUAAUCACAAUCAAAUACCAUUUCAUUUGGAAAUAAAAUGGGGGAUGGUUUUGAGUUUUCAACUGCUCUCCUCGAUUAUUUGAAUACGAGUUAUUUUACUCGGUUAGCCAAAUAAUUGUCAUUCCUAUCCUCCUAAACACAAUUGAAGUCAAAUUAUUUUCAUAAUAACGAAAUGAAAAGGGAGAUGAUUUUGAGCCUUGGGACAAGGGGUACCUUGCAAGCGAGUAGCGUGGGAUGGUGGUUCAUGUUGGCAAAUCUUGGGUUUCAACAAGUGUGUGUUUGGGAUUAAUUCAACUAGGUGAAAGCCUUGGGACAAUGAGUGCACUACAAGGAAGUAGCAAAAGCAAGUGAAUUGAAGCGACAUUGUUGGUUACAUGAUCAUGCACUUGGUAUUAAUUCAUUCGGGUGAUAGCCUUGGGACAGGGGAUUCCUUGCAAGGAAGUAGCAACAAUAGGUGAAUUGAAGCGGCAUGGUUAGUUACUUGAUCAAGGGUUUUGGAGGUGGUAGAGUCAACAUCAAACUUAGGGUUUAUAGAGUUCGAUUUCUUCAACUCUUGUAUACACACAUUUUUAAAAGUAAGAUUUAUUAUAAUAUCUCAAUUCGAAUUCGAAUUGAGGGCAGACAUAUCCAUAGCGAGGUCAAUUGGGGAACUGCCUAAAAAAAUACUUGUGUACUAUCUCUCUCUCUUUUGUUUUUCGGUUUGCAAAUUAUCGAUUGCAUUGAUCAUUUGAUCAAUAUUGUUUGGGUCAUAAUUUUGAAUACAUUUUGAAAUUUGUGUUUUUGUGUAGACCACAAACCAUUUGGUUUUGAUAGGAUUUCUAGAACAACAAACACCACAUAGAAUGCUAAACAUUAUUGAUCACACACUAAGUGUUUAAUAAAUUGCUUGACUUGAUUUUUGUGUGUAUUCUCAUUGGAGAUAGACUUUUUCCUAUUGUAUUUCAUUCAAGUAGUUGUGAUUAGUUAUUGUUGGUUGACUUGUGGAUUAUUGACGUUUCAUUGAUACUUCUACGCAUAUCCAAGUUUCUCGAUAGUAGGUUCGGUUAGAUGAUUUUUGAUCCGGGUAAUUUGAAACUCGCUUCCGUUCCAUAAACUUUUUCAAAACCAAAUUUUGAUUUAAGUUUUAACUUGUGAUCUAUUCACCCNCCCCCCCCCUUCUAGAUCUAGGCCUAUCAUGUUUUAGUAAGGUUGUGUAAUUGAUUUAAUAGUAGUUGUUGGUUUAGUGUUUGUUUGUUUAAAAAAAAUUGAACUUGAUGGCUUAAUUAAAUGCUUGUGAUAGAUGACAUAUGGAAUCUGAAUAUUUUGAUAUAUUUGAAAUCUAUAGUGUGUGACAAUGUUUGAGUGUUUUCAUUUAUAGUUUGUUGUAACAAUGUUGGAGUAUUUUGUUUUUAUAUCGAGUUAUUCAUUGUUUAAUUUUUGACGAAAUUCAUGUUUGAUUCUUGUAGGUGGAUUUGACACAGCUCAUGCUACUGCUAGAUAAAUCUUUGAACUUAUUUAAUUUUAUGGUUAUUUCAUUUGUUAGAUUGUUGAAUUGACUUGAAAUUUUCAAUAUCAAAGUCAAUGAUCG
rnacentral:lncRNA from 1 species